rnacentral:rRNA from 1 species
AACGAACGCUAGCGGCAGGCCUAACACAUGCAAGUCGAGGGGUAGAAGUUGCUUGCAACUUUGAGACCGGCGCACGGGUGCGUAACGCGUAUGCAAUCUACCUUGUACAGAGGGAUAGCCCAGAGAAAUUUGGAUUAAUACCUCAUAGUAUUUUCAAGUGGCAUCACUUGAUUAUUAAAGUUCCAACGGUACAAGAUGAGCAUGCGUCCUAUUAGCUAGAUGGUAAGGUAACGGCUUACCAUGGCUACGAUAGGUAGGGGUCCUGAGAGGGAGAUCCCCCACACUGGUACUGAGACACGGACCAGACUCCUACGGGAGGCAGCAGUGAGGAAUAUUGGUCAAUGGGCGCAAGCCUGAACCAGCCAUGCCGCGUGCAGGAAGACGGUCCUAUGGAUUGUAAACUGCUUUUGUACGGGAAGAAACACUCCCUCGUGAGGGAGCUUGACGGUACCGUAAGAAUAAGGAUCGGCUAACUCCGUGCCAGCCGCCGCGGUAAGAC